UACAGAGGGGGCAAGCGUUGUUCGGAAUUACUGGGCGUAAAGGGCGCGUAGGCGGCCUUCUAAGUCGAACGUGAAAUCCCCGGGCUCAACCCGGGAACUGCGUCCGAUACUGGAAGGCUUGAAUCCGGGAGAGGGAUGCGGAAUUCCAGGUGUAGCGGUGAAAUGCGUAGAGAUGUGGAGGAACACCGAUGGCGAAGGCAGCCCCUGGGUCAAGAUUGACGCUCAUGCACGAAAGCGUGGGGGGCAAACAGG
rnacentral:rRNA from 1 species